rnacentral:misc_RNA from 1 species
ACUGAGCAAUCCCCAUAUAUCUUUACUCAGUGAUAAUUCAAAUAUACCUUCCUUAUCUAUGAAUCUUUUAAAAACAUCAUGUGGUAUAUUGUACCUUCCUUGUCUCAGUAAGCGAAAUUGAAUUGAGAUAUUGAAUAAAUUAUUAGUUUCAUCAACCUUCAUGUCUUGUAUGUUCUCAUAAUGAGAUUUCAGAAUAUCUUCAAUAUCUUCCUUGAAGUGGUAAUCAAUGGCCAUUCUUUGAAGUGAAUCUAUUAUCAUUAACAACUUUAUUUGAUCACUUUCUUUUGAGAGUAUACUUCUGACUUUAUUUAGGUUGUUGAGAUGUUUAAUUUGAGAAUACUCCUCAGAACUACUGGCUUCGGAGCACCGUUGGGCUUUAGUUGUGAAUCUCCGGGCCACCGGCGUGAAGGGAACAGGGAGCUUGAACGUCGGCAUGGAGACGGAAAGAGGAGCCAUGGAGAGAAUAAUAUCAGUACACGGAACUCGGUUGG